rnacentral:lncRNA from 1 species
UACUAAGGACCUGGGGACAAUCUUGCCAGACUUCCUCUGCAGGCAUCUUUAAUUUUCUUGUAUCGUAAAUUUUUAUCUUACAUUCGGGGAGAAGGAAGAAACAAUACAAGAAUUGGCCCCAGGAAAUAUUUAUUCUAAAUCCGGCACAUGCAAAACCCCGAGAUAGCCAUCAAGGACAAAAAUCAUCACUGGGAGGUGGGAAGCCCUGAACAAUGUAACUCCCUUAUCUUUGGGAAAUACUUUUAUUUAUAGGUCAAUGACACAACAGUCCAAGUCACCUUGGCUAUCUGCCAAAUGAAUAGAAGCACACUACAGAUAUUAGAGAGGGAGGGUUGAAGGGAAGAGAUUUCCAAGGGCUUUGGCAGGUGGAGAAGGCUUUUUGGAGAGGAUAGGCCUGUACAAGGGAACAGCAGUUACAACAAAGAAAAAGAAAGCCAACUCACCAAGAGCAGCUGUAAAUAGAAACAUCUUAUUUUUACUUUCUCCUCUCCUCCCCAGCAUUAAAAGGAAUAGAAAGGAAAGCACUUGGAAUCCCCAGGCCAGCUUGUGGAAGGUUUUGGGGUAGUGUGGGCAGAGCUUUAAACUGAACAUGAGAUUGA